AUAUAUAUAGUAUAAUUAAUUACGUUUAACUUCCAAUUAAAAAAUUUUCAACAGAAUAUAUACA
rnacentral:tRNA from 1 species